GACGAACGCUGGCGGCGUGCUUAACACAUGCAAGUCGAACGGAAAGGCCCCCUUGUGGGGUACUCGAGUGGCGAACGGGUGAGUAACACGUGAGUAACCUACCCUUGACUUUGGGAUAACUUCAGGAAACUGGGGCUAAUACCGGAUAGGAGCUCCUGCUGCAUGGUGGGGGUUGGAAAGUUUCGGCGGUUGGGGAUGGACUCGCGGCUUAUCAGCUUGUUGGUGGGGUAGUGGCUCACCAAGGCUUUGACGGGUAGCCGGCCUGAGAGGGUGACCGGCCACAUUGGGACUGAGAUACGGCCCAGACGCCUACGGGAGGCAGCAGUGGGGAAUAUUGCACAAUGGGCGGAAGCCUGAUGCAGCAACGCCGCGUGCGGGAUGACGGCCUUCGGGUUGUAAACCGCUUUCGCCUGUGACGAAGCGUGAGUGACGGUAAUGGGUAAAGAAGCACCGGCUAACUACGUG
rnacentral:rRNA from 1 species